UAUGUAGGGUGCAAGCGUUGUCCGGAUUUAUUGGGCGUAAAGAGCUCGUAGGCGGUUCGGUAAGUCGGGUGUGAAAACUCUGGGCUCAACCCAGAGCCGCCACCCGAUACUGCUGUGACUUGAGUUCGGUAGGGGAGCGGGGAAUUCCUGGUGUAGCGGUGAAAUGCGCAGAUAUCAGGAGGAACACCAGUGGCGAAGGCGCCGCUCUGGGCCGACACUGACGCUGAGGAGCGAAAGCGUGGGUAGCAAACAGG
rnacentral:rRNA from 1 species